UGCCAGCCGCCGCGGUAAUACGGAGGGUGCAAGCGUUAAUCGGAAUUACUGGGCUUAAAGAGCUCGUAGGUGGUUAAAAAAGUUGAUGGUGAAAUCCCAAGGCUCAACCUUGGAACUGCCAUCAAAACUUUUUAGCUAGAGUGUGAUAGAGGUAAGUGGAAUUUCUAGUGUAGAGGUGAAAUUCGUAGAUAUUAGAAAGAACACCAAAUGCGAAGGCAACUUACUGGGUCACUACUGACACUGAGGAGCGAAAGCAUGGGUAGCGAAGAGGAUUAGAUA
rnacentral:rRNA from 1 species